rnacentral:rRNA from 1 species
GCUGGCGGCUGCUACACCUGCAGUCGAACGCUAUUUAUAGAGUGGCGCACGGGUGAGUAACGCGUGGGAACCUGCCUUUUUCUGCGGGAUAACGGUUGGAAACGACCGCUAAUACCGCAUACGCCCUACGGGGGAAAGGUCCGCCGGAGAAAGAGGGGCCCGCGUCUGAUUAGCUAGUUGGUAGGGUAAUGGCCUACCAAGGCGACGAUCAGUAGCUGGUCUGAGAGGAUGAUCAGCCACACUGGGACUGAGACACGGCCCAGACUCCUACGGGAGGCAGCAGUGGGGAAUAUUGGACAAUGGGGGCAACCCUGAUCCAGCAAUGCCGCGUGUGUGAUGAAGGCCUUAGGGUUGUAAAGCACUUUCACUGGUGAAGAUGUUGACGGUAACCAGAGAAGAAGCCCCGGCUAACUUCGUGCCAGCAGCCGCGGUAAUACGAAGGGGGCGAGCGUUGUUCGGAAUUACUGGGCGUAAAGGGCGCGUAGGCGGUCUUUUAAGUUAGGCGUGAAAGCCCCGGGCUCAA